UACAGAGGUCUCGAGCGUUAAUCGGAGUCACUGGGCUUAAAGGGUGCGUAGGCGGCGCCGCAAGCGCCUUGUGAAAUCCCACGGCUCAACCGUGGAAUUGCUCGGCAGACUGCGGCGCUUGAGGUCGGUAGGGGUCGCUGGAACUCUAGGUGGAGCGGUGAAAUGCGUAGAUAUCUAGAGGAACGCCAAAGGUGAAGACAGGCGACUGGGCCGAUUCUGACGCUGAGGCACGAAAGCGUGGGGAGCGAACGGG
rnacentral:rRNA from 1 species